rnacentral:rRNA from 1 species
GACGAACGCUGGCGGCGUGCCUAAUACAUGCAAGUCGAACGCAGUGGGGACGGGUGCGUAACACGUGGGUAACCUCCCAUCAGAGGGGAUAACACUUGGAUACAGGUGCUAAACCGCUACUGAUGUAUGGACCCGCGGUGCAUGAGCUAGUUGGUGAGGUAACGGCUAACCAAGGCCACGAUGCAUAGACGGCCUGAGAGGGUGAUCGGACACACUGGGACUGAGACACGGCCCAGAAUCCUACGGGAGGCAGCAGUAGGGAAUAUUCGGCAAUGGACGAAAGUCUGACCGAGCAACGCCGCGUGAAUGAAGAAGGUUUUCGGAUCGUAAAGCUCUGUUGGUAGAGAGGCGGUAUCUAACCAGAAAGCCACGGCUAACUACGUGCCAGCAGCCGCGGUAAUAC